rnacentral:misc_RNA from 1 species
GAUGAAGAACGCAGCAAAAUGCGAUAAGUAAUGUGAACUGCAGAAUUCAGUGAAUCAUCGAAUCUUUGAACGCACAUUGCGCCCGCCAGUAUUCUGGCGGGCAUGCCUGUUCGAGCGUCAUUUCAACCCUCAAGCACAGCUUGGUGUUGGGACUCGCGUUAAUUCGCGUUCCCCAAAUUGAUUGGCGGUCACGUCGAGCUUCCAUAGCGUAGUAGUAAAACCCUCGUUACUGGUAAUCGUCGCGGCCACGCCGUUAAACCCCAACUUCUGAAUGUUGACCUCGGAUCAGGUAGGAAUACCCGCUGAACUUAAGCAUAUCAAUAAGCGGAGGA